AGCGAAAUUCCUUGUCGGGUAAGUUCCGACCUGCACGAAUGGCAUAAUGAUGGCCAGGCUGUCUCCACCCGAGACUCAGUGAAAUUGAAAUCGCCGUGAAGAUGCGGUGUACCCGCGGCUAGACGGAAAGACCCCGUGAACCUUUACUAUAGCUUGACACUGAACAUUGAAUUUUGAUGUGUAGGAUAGGUGGGAGACUUUGAAGUAGUCACGCCAGUGAUUAUGGAGUCGUCCUUGAAAUACCACCCUUUAACGUUUGAUGUUCUAACGAAGAUUACGAAACGUGGUCUCGGACAGUGUCUGGUGGGUAGUUUGACUGGGGCGGUCUCCUCCCAAAGAGUAACGGAGGAGCACGAAGGUUUGCUAAUGACGGUCGGACAUCGUCAGGUUAGUGCAAUGGUAUAAGCAAGCUUAACUGCGAGACAGACAAGUCGAGCAGGUACGAAAGUAGGUCAUAGUGAUCCGGUGGUUCUGAAUGGAAGGGCCAUCGCUCAACGGAUAAAAGGUACUCCGGGGAUAACAGGCUGAUACCGCCCAAGAGUUCAUAUCGACGGCGGUGUUUGGCACCUCGAUGUCGGCUCAUCACAUCCUGGGGCUGAAGUAGGUCCCAAGGGUAUGGCUGUUCGCCAUUUAAAGUGGUACGCGAGCUGGGUUUAGAACGUCGUGAGACAGUUCGGUCCCUAUCUGCCGUGGGCGUUGGAGAAUUGAUUGGGGCUGCUCCUAGUACGAGAGGACCGGAGUGGACGCACCACUGGUGUUCCGGUUGUGUCGCCAGACGCAUUGCCGGGUAGCUAAGUGCGGAAGAGAUAAGUGCUGAAAGCAUCUAAGCACGAAACUUGCCAAGAGAUGAGUUCUCCCUGUCUUUAAGACAGUAAGGGUUGUUUAAGACUAAGACGUAGAUAGGUGCGGUGUGUAAGUGUAGUGAUACAUUGAGCUAACGCAUACUAAUUGCCCGAGAGGCUUAGCCAU
rnacentral:rRNA from 1 species